rnacentral:snoRNA from 1 species
AGAAGUUAUGAUGAUAGGCUUCAUAUGUUCAACUGCUCUGAAGUGUGAGUGACAGCUGCCUUUCUGAACAACC